rnacentral:rRNA from 1 species
GAUGAACGCUGGCGGCGUGCCUAAUACAUGCAAGUCGAACGAAUCUUCUUCGGAAGAUGAGUGGCGAACGGGUGAGUAAUACAUAGGUAACCUGCCCCUGUGCGGGGGAUAACAGGAGGAAACUCCUGCUAAUACCGCAUAGCCAUGAGCACCGCAUGGAGCUCAUGCCAAAUAUCCUUUCGGGGAUAGCGCAGGGAUGGACCUAUGGCGCAUUAGCUUGUUGGCGGGGCAACGGCCCACCAAGGCAACGAUGCGUAGCCGGCCUGAGAGGGCGGACGGCCACAUUGGGACUGAGACACGGCCCAGACUCCUACGGGAGGCAGCAGUAGGGAAUUUUCGGCAAUGGGGGAAACCCUGACCGAGCAACGCCGCGUGAGCGAAGAAGGCCUUCGGGUCGUAAAGCUCUGUUGUAAAGGAAGAACGGCGCAUACAGGAAAUGGUAUGCG